rnacentral:rRNA from 1 species
GGAAUCUUCCACAAUGGGCGAAAGCCUGAUGGAGCAACGCCGCGUGAGUGAAGAAGGUUUUCGGAUCGUAAAACUCUGUUGUAAGGGAAGAACAAGUACAGUAGUAACUGGCUGUACCUUGACGGUACCUUAUUAGAAAGCCACGGCUAACUACGUGCCAGCAGCCGCGGUAAUACGUAGGUGGCAAGCGGUGUCGGGAAUUAUUGGGCGUAAAGAGCGCGUAGGAGGUGGUUUAAGUCUGAUGUGAAAGACGACGGCGCAACAGUGGGGGGUCAUUGGAAGCUGGGGGACUGGAGUGCAGAAGAGGAAAGUGGGAUUACAAGUGUAGCGGUGAAAUGCGUAGAGAUUUGGAGGAACACCAGUGGCGAAGGCGACUUUCUGGUCUGUAACUGACGCUGAGGCGCGAAAGCGUGGGGAGCAAACAGG